GCUAGCUAUCCUGUUCGCGCUUCAGCCUGCGGGAGGGAUACCUCCUGGGUAUUCUCGAGAUCCAGCUCUCGGUUCCUGGGAUCUUGGAAUCUGCUCACACGUGGCUUGUACGGCGGAGGUUGUCCGGUCAGCGGGUUGCGGAGGAUCCCGCAGGUAGCAAAGGGAGGGCGAGGGCCCCUGCGACCCCAGACUGCGACUAGAACAUCCAUCAUUGUUAGCCCCGCAGCUAGCUUGGACACCAUUAAAAGGGCUCAUCAGCUUCAAAUGAAUAAAAGUAUCUGAUAUUCAUGAAGACAGAGUUUCAGGGCUUCUACCAGGAGCUACACUCUCUAGAAGCCCCUGCUUGGCCUUCCUGCACCCAACCCCACCCCAACUAGUCACAUCUUGGCUGUGUAUGGUGUUUCUUGGCAACUGGAACACAGACUCCUCCAGCAGCUCCACAGAUCCCUUGUCCUCAGUGAGCAGAAGACUACAGAAACUGUCUACUGAAGAGGCUGUCCAUGUGAUUGAGCUCGGCUCUGCUUAACACACUUAACCACAGAGCAGUAACUGAGUGCUGGAUGUUACUCAUUCGUGCUCACCUCCUGCAGGUCACCCACUCCAUGACAUUCAUCCUUUAGUAUCUGCUCUUCGCUAAGGAGAAAACAACACCACCUGUCGUCUGUUAACCCGAGGACAGAAUGCCCAGGUGAGCCUGACUCACAGUACCUGUACUUAGCUAACCUUGACCACGUGCUGCCAAAGCUCCUGCAAGCCUUCCCUCCAAGCACAGCAGCAGCCCAGCUCCGGAGCGGACAGGCAUUCCACCCCACAGAAGUGAUCUGCUGUCACCUACUCUUGGGGGGCAAAGGGGAUUAUGGGGAGAUUAGAAGAAGAUAGAUGGCCCCACUCCGUCAACCCAUAUUGUUAUCAGACAACUCAUUCUGGUCCACACAACAACCCCACCGGUGCACUGACUGAGGGGAGCCACGUGUUUAGUUCCCUGGACUCCCGUGUGACCUCACCCACUGACUUCCCCAGAAGGGGCUCUGUAACCUCUUCGGGAAGCUGAAGCCAGACAGUGACUGAGAGGUUCUGUUCAGCUCCUCCUCUCCUGGGCAGCUUCACCCAGGAGUAACUUCAGUAACCAGUGGGGUGUGUGCUCGCCACUCAGGUUUUCAAAACAAAACCAUAUAUUGUUUAGGGAUACUUACACAGGAAGCAAAUUCAAGAAAAGCAAAAAAAAAAAAAAAAAAGAGAGAGAGAGAGAGAGAGAGAGAGAGAGAGAGAGAACAUCAAGGUCAGGAUAAUGGUUUCCUCUGGGGCAGGGGAAGAGGUAUGUGAAGGGAAACAGGAGGGUUCUAAAAUACUUUAAUGUUCUAGUUCUUAGCAUGGUUGGGAGGUAGAUGGGAAUUUUAUUAUUCUUCCUUAAACUGUACAAGUUUUAGAAACUGUUCCAUAUGUUCAGUGUAUUUAAAAUUUUAACAGAAACACAAUUUUCAAACCAAAUAAUAUGUACAACUGACUGAACACAUAGAAUCAAAGAUAAUCACAAUAAACACAUCAGAAUACCUGCCUAUGGAGGGAGAGGGUUGGAAAUGGGAGUGGAGAAUGAGAAAAUGGGAUGCACAAAUUUAUAUCUAUAAAAGCCCAGCGACCAUUAUGGCAGAAUGAUUGGAACAACCAGAACAAUGGGUCACUAUGACACUCACUGACUACCAGGGGGCAGAUGCUCAACACAGAAGCUGCCCCUGGUGGUCAGUGCAUUCCCACAGCAGGAGCACUGCUCAGCCCGAAGUGGGGCUCACAGCUGGUGAAUGCAAUGGCAGUGGUGGGAGCUUCUCCCGCCUCUGCAGCAGUGCUAAGGAUAAGGAGCGGCGAGCCAAGUGGUAAGAAGUGAGCAGGUGGGCGGUAAGGGGCAAGCAGGUGGGUAGUUAGGAGCAAGGGGUCAUGGUUUGUGAGAGUGAUGUCCAACUGCCAGUUUAGGCCCAAUCAGACACCCCCCGAGGGGCCCCAGAUUGCAAGAGGGCACAGGCUGGGCUGAGGGAACAACCCUCCCCCCCAUGCACGGAUUUUGUGCAUUGGGCCUCUAGUAAAUAAAUAACAUAUACAUUCUACUUAUCAAAGAUAAUUAUGUGACCAUGGAGUACAGUUUCCUCUACCUUCUGCACCAGAAUAUUGAAUGUGAUAAAGAAGCUGAACCUUACUAAAUCUGAUUGGUCCAAAAUCAAUCUGUAUAAAACCAAAUCACAUGAAUACUGCAAAGAGUAUUAUAAUCAAGUAAAUGGUUGCUACAGAAGGUUUUCCCAGGUGGAGGAUUUUGAAGGCCCCUCUGAGUGGUCAUUUCUCCAAAGUUUCAUCUGUGUUCUGCUGUCCAGCAUUCCUGAAGGAUUUCAAAUGCAGCCCUUGGCUUAUCAGCCCAUUUCGCAAUAAAACUUGAAAACCAAUAGAGAGGUUCACAGAGAGGAAGGGGGGUCAAAUAUAUGGUGACAGAAAGACUAAACUUUGGGUGAUGAGCACACAGUGCAAUAUACAGAUGAUGUAUUAUAAUAUUGUACACUUGAAACUAAUAUAGUCUUAUUAACCAUUGUCACCCCAAUAAAUUUAAUUUUUUUAAAAAGAGAAAGCAGGAGACUAAACUGGUAUCCCUACAAGAGGAAAAGACCAAACCCUCAUACCUCAAAAAGAAGUACAGUCCUAUGUUGGACUGUGUCUUGGAAAUUGCCUCUAUGGUUUAAAAAGAUCAUGUAUGCAUAUCUCAUGGACAUGGACAAUAGUUUGGUGAAGGCCAAGGGAGGGAGGGUGGAAGUGGUCA